rnacentral:lncRNA from 1 species
UUUAUAGCUCAAGAAGCUAGAAUGAGAAUAUUUGAAAGUUAGUUGUUCUGUUUGUCAAUUCCUUCUCUUUUCUAUAAUGCUGGGGCCGCUGGGGCAUAGACGAAGUUUGCAACACGAAGAAGGAAGUAAAACUGCCAUGCAAGAAAUGGAGUCAAAAUGGAGUAAACUCUUGAAAUGAAGCUGUGAAUCCAGAUGAGAAAUAGAGAGAACAGACAUUUUUUAUCAAGGCCUGGACAGUUUAUAUAUUAUUGUUGGAUCUCAUGCAAUGCCAUACAGAAAAAAUGUUGUCACUGUUCUUUUAUUCUUCUUUCCAGACCCUGGCACUGCAGAAUGAUGAAUUCAGAGGAACGAUGCUGAUUCUUAAGCUGGGUUUACCCCUUGAAACGGGAGGUUUCAGUUGCGCCAACAGCGAUUGUUGCGCCAGACCCAACCCCUCUGGCAACGGUGGCAACUGUUGUCAUACCAAUACCACCCCGACUGGCAGCGCUGGGCAGCAGCCUUUGCGAUCCCUCCCACGUCCACGCCCAUGGCCAGCAUCAUCCCAAACAUGGCAAGUGCCAAAAACAUCACCAAGAAAGCCUUGUUCUCCAUGAUUUGCUGCUCAGACUAAGAUCAAGCAGGCUUGUAUAUUAGAGAGAAAUGGUUUGAUCUUUGAGCCAGGCUCGUAUUUAUAGCUCGAGGCAGCACAGAAUGUUAGAUGGACGCUGGAGAGUUGUCUUGGGACGGCUUCGCUUAUUUCUUAUCUCUGAA